UACAGAGGAGCCAAGCGUUGUCCGGAUUGACUGGGCGUAAAGCGCACGCAGGCGGUUGCGCGCGUGGGGGGUGAAAUCUGGCCGCUUAACGGCCAGGCGCCAUCCCAUACGGCGCGACUGGAGUGAUGCAGAGGUCGAUGGAAUUGCCGGUGUAGUGGUGAAAUGCGUAGAUAUCCGGAGGAACACCGAUGGCGAAGGCAGCCCCCUGGGCUAACACUGACGCUCAGGCACGAAAGCGUGGGGAGCAAACAGG
rnacentral:rRNA from 1 species